CCCUUAGAUGUUCUGGGCUGCACGCGUGCUACACUGAUAUUGCCAAUAUGUCAUUCUUACCCGAAAUGGAUUGGGUAAUCAAGUAAUGAAAUUUCAUGCUUGGAAUCGGUAAUUGCAAUUUUAUCGUGAACGAGGAAUUCCUAGUAAGCACUAGUCAUCAGCUAAUGUUGAUUAUGUCCCUGCCCUUUGUACACACCGCCCGUCGCUACUACUGAUUGGGUGUUCAAGUGAGAUGCUUAGACCCUUGUUGCAUGGUUCAUUAUUGUGCUCCGAAAGGAAAAAGUUUCAAGCUUGAGUGUCUAGAGGAAGUAAAAGUCGUAACA
rnacentral:rRNA from 1 species